rnacentral:rRNA from 1 species
AUGCAGGUCACUAAGAUGAGUAAGAAACACAAGUGUUCUUCAAGUAGCAGAGUAAAAACCACCAUGGCAACACAAGGUUGGGUUGAAGCCAAUGCAAUGAGUAUACUCCAGAAUGAUCCUACCAUAGGAUGUAAAGAACUACAAGAGAAACUCAAAGAAACUUAUGACAUCACCAUUGGUUAUGAUACAGUUUGGGCGGGUAAAUCUAGAGCCAAAAAACAGAUUUAUGGCACUUUGAAGCAGAGUUUUCAGAAUUUGCAUAACUUCAAAGCAGAAGUUGAGAAGAGAUCUCCAGGGAGCAUCGUAGAGGUUGAUACCAAGGUAGUAGAUGGUAAAGUCCACUUUCACAGAUUCUUUAUGGCUCUUAAACCUUCCAUAGAUGGUUUUCUAGCUGGUUGUAGACCAUAUCUCAGCAUAGACUCCAUGGCAUUUAAUGGUAGAUGGAGAGGAUACUUGGCAGCUUGUACAACAUUAGAUGGUCAUAACUGGAUGUUUCCUGUUGCAAUUGGGUUCAUUGAUGGAGAGACCGAGGAAAACUGGACUUGGUUCAUGUCACAACUCAACAGAGCUUUAGGUUCAGUCCCUAACUUAGCUAUAUGUAUAGAUGCAUGCAAAGGUUUAGAAAAUGCUGUCAAAAAGGUUUUUCCUCAUGUGGAGCAGAGAGAGUGUUUUAGGCACUUGAUGGCAAACUUCACA